rnacentral:rRNA from 1 species
GCGGAGGGAUCAUUACCGAGUUUACAACUCCCAAACCCCUGUGAACAUACCUAUACGUUGCCUCGGCGGAUCAGCCCGCGCCCCGUAAAACGGGACGGCCCGCCCGAGGACCCCUAAACUCUGUUUUUAGUGGAACUUCUGAGUAAAACAAACAAAUAAAUCAAAACUUUCAACAACGGAUCUCUUGGUUCUGGCAUCGAUGAAGAACGCAGCAAAAUGCGAUAAGUAAUGUGAAUUGCAGAAUUCAGUGAAUCAUCGAAUCUUUGAACGCACAUUGCGCCCGCCAGUAUUCUGGCGGGCAUGCCUGUUCGAGCGUCAUUUCAACCCUCAAGCUCAGCUUGGUGUUGGGACUCGCGGUAACCCGCGUUCCCCAAAUCGAUUGGCGGUCACGUCGAGCUUCCAUAGCGUAGUAAUCAUACACCUCGUUACUGGUAAUCGUCGCGGCCACGCCGUUAAACCCCAACUUCUGAAUGUUGACCUCGGAUCAGGUAGGAAUACCCGCUGAACUUAAGCAUAUCAAUAAGCGGAGGAA